GAAGAGGGGCGUCUCCUACGCCG
rnacentral:snRNA from 1 species